UACAGAGGGUGCGAGCGUUGUCCGGAAUCACUGGGCGUAAAGGGCGCGUAGGUGGCGGCCCAAGUCCAUGGUGAAAGCUCGAUGCUCAACAUCGAGUCGGCCACGGAUACUGGGUUGCUCGAGCACUGUAGGGGCAGAUGGAAUUCCGGGUGUAGCGGUGGAAUGCGUUGAUAUCCAUGGGAACUCCGGUGGCGAAGGCGACUUGCUGGACCCUUUCUGACGCUGAGGCUCGAAAGCCAGGGGAGCAAACGGG
rnacentral:rRNA from 1 species